AGGAUGCUGUAUGCAGACCUGGAGACAAAGGGGUAUAUACCUGUGUCUGCAAGAAAAGAUACCAAGGAGAUGGAUUCAAAUGCACGAAACAAUGCACAAAUGUUGCAAAGAGAUGGACGGGGGAUAAAUGUGUCAACCGCUGCGCUCCAGAGGAGAUCUGGGAUAACACCAAGAAAAUCUGCACACCGAGGUGCACCGAGUCUCAGUUAUGGAACAUCCCGACCAAAC